AUGGCACGGUGUGAGGAGGGCACAUGUGGUACAGUGUGAUAGUGGAAUAUGCUGCAUCAUGCGUGACCUCCCCACAUCGUGUUGU